UCCUGGUGUGGGCUGCUUGGAUCUUUAAAGACAAGGGCCCCUGGGGGCUUAGGGCCUGAGAGACAUUCCUAGGGAGGUCCUGGGCGGUGGGUGUCGCCCCUAACCCAAGCUGUACCCUGACUCACGCUUGCCCUGCGUCCACAGCCAGCAGCCGCCUGAUGGGAAAUUCUCCAGCCUCCUCUUUUAUGGGCAGCUUCCUCACCGGCAGCCUGGGCUCGGCAGCUUCCACGCACCCCAGCGGCCCCACCUCUGCCCCCUCUGAGCAGGCCUACCGAGGCUCCCACCCUGGCACCUCCCAGAUCUGGUUCUCCCACUCCCAUGAAGCUCCGGCGUACCCCAGAUUUUCGGGGAGUCUGGCAUCCACUUUCCUACCCGUGAGCCACUUGGAUCACCAUGGAAACAGUAAUGUUCUCUGCGGGCAGCAUCGUUUCUAUGGAACCCAAAAAGGCAAGUGCCACAUGGGGGCUGGUGUGGGGUGCAGGGGUUGGCAGGGCAGGGAGCCCCUAGGGCACAGGUGAAGGCAGCCAGCCUGGUGGGCCUUGUCCACUAGGUCUCAACCCCAGCUGCACCCCUAAAACACAGCCUCACUGUCUCCAGCUCUUGGGGUUGGAGUCCAUGUCCUCCUCCUGCCCUUGCCUUGUACCCCACAGUUCAGGGUCCCGGAGAUGGGGUUCGGA
rnacentral:lncRNA from 1 species